GGCUCCAUCCCAAGACCCCAGGAUCAUAACCUGAGCUGAAGGCAGAAGUUUAACUGACUGAGCCACCCAGGCGCCCCGAAUCAAUUAUUACAAUUUAACAAAUAAAAUGAAAGAGAUAAAUAGGAUGUUAUAAAAGGAACAGAGGAACAUAAACUUGUGUGAAAGACUGACUUGCUAAAAUUAUAAAUUAUCUGCAACUAAUGUUAAUUUGUAAUAUAUGGCAACUACUCUUUAUUACAGACUUUCUAGUUUGACCUAUGUGAGAAAGAUGCUAUAAAAACUGACAGAUCUAGAUAAUAUUUCUAAAUAGAUUUAUGUUUAAAUACAUGACAUUCCUGUAUACCAUCUGUCUGUUUUAUAUAUGUGAGGUAAUAGUACAUCUAAAAAAUGUAUUUGCUAAAAUAAUAUUUAUUGAUGUUUGGUGGUUUAUUUUCCUCUACUAGAAUCUUUUAUAAGAAUUAAAGUGUAUAAAUUAAAUGCUCCCUUGUACCCAGGAAAACUUUGUGGCAAAUUAACUUAUAAAGUGGCCCCAGUUUCCUUUCAAUUGUUUAUAAUCAAAAUUUGAAUUGAGCCCUCCGUUAAACAAAACAAUAUGAUGCUACUUUAACAAUUUUUUUAGAACCUACCUUUUUUUUUUCAUUAUGAGAACUCAGUAUAUAAAUCAGCAAAAUAAAAUAAAAAUAUAUGCUGUACUAUCUUCCCAUGUAUUGACAAUGUUCCUCAAGAUCUUACUUGGUUUUCUGAGACUUAUUUGCACUUUGCAGUUCAUAGAAAGGUGGCCUCUUUUAUUGUGAUGUCAAGAACUUUAGAUAAAUCUGUUUAACCACUGAGCAUGUGAGAGAGACCUGAGUGAGCAGAAGCCAUUCUCAAUGGAGCUCACGCCUCGACUGACAAAUAGGCCAAGCUGAAGUGGUUCAGAGAUUACGUCAUGGGCCACAUACCUGCUUUGUUUCAAUAAAUAAACCCCAGGCUGUGAAAUAUGGCUGAUUAUACAUCGAGAUGAGGAUGAACUAAAGGGAAUGAAAGAUUUUCUGAGGUCAUGACAUAGAGUUUUAAUUCUUCAAUUUCACUGUAGUUAACAGGCCCAGGAACUCAUGCUUCUGCCGAUCUAGGUUUAAGUUGUUCUUUUAGGGUGACAAAUGAGGUACACCAAGAAGCUAGAAUUUCACAUUCCCUUCAUGGCUUCUUAGAACAGUGCAUGUUGGGAUAAAGCCAAGAAUAGUGGCGUUUAAAAACAAGUUUAAAAAAAAAAAAAAAAAAAAACAGUGACCGAAUCCAUCAAGAAAUGAUUUCCACUUUUGAGUCACUCGCUGCUGCUCAGCUCUUCUAUCACAUUCACAGUUUUCAGCACAGAGCUGCUACUAUUAUUCUUUAAUUCAACUGUGUAUAUAAAUUAAAGAUUCUGGCUCCUUCAAGGCAGAUAUUCUGAAUUCAUCCUUACUGAGAGAGACAAAAAUGUUACACCUACUUAAUCCAGAUUGAAGGCCCCAAGCAUGAAUCAGUUCUUAAUGUCAUCUGGGGUGGAGUCAUACUGACAACUGGAAUACAUUUACUGCAUGGAGCAUGGGACUUCUUCAGAGCGCCCAGUGGCCAGUCUGUAGAUGGGCUCAUCCUGGGCUUCCUCCAUCUGAGAUUCCUUUGGUCUCUAGGACAGAGCCUGGCCCUCUUCACUCACACAGUACCAUCACCGCGGAAACCGAGAUUGCUCCUGUGAUGGUUUCCAUUUGCUGGAAUCUUAGACACAGGACAGGUGCUUAUACAGAAGUGGAAGAGGGACACAGUCGGCUGCUGCAAUCGUAUGAGGUGGUGAGGUAGGAGCAAAUAAUUGGUUGCCUUGAAUCUCCCCCACCCUUUGUUUCUGUAAUAGCACCUGUGUCAGUUGGAUCAGUGUGUCCUAAUCAUUAUGCUUGAGACUCCACUGUACCAAGACGUCACUUGGCACAGGUUCAGACUACUUGCAUUUUACCCACAUGUUCCACUAUUAUCAUCGAUCACCGAGACCCUUCACAUUUCCUUUUUUUUUUUUUUCCCUUCACAUUUCCUUUUGAGUCCUUUAGCCCAGAAGAAAUCUGAAAGAUUUGCUGGGGUCUCUUUUCCCCAGCGGAAGCUCCCUGCCUCAGCCAAGAUGAAUUCUCAAACUUAAUGGCUUAGUGUUUUGAAGCCCAGAUUUUACAGCAAGACUGCAUCAGUUCAAAUCCCCUCUCUGCUACUUCUAAUUAUGUGUCCUCAGUCAAGUUACUUAACUCCUUAUGCCUCAGUCUCCUCGACUGUAAAAGGAAAAUACAGGCCUUCCUUGAAAACAUCCUUCUCACGCCAAAUUCCAAACCUUUGGAUAACAAAUGUUUCAAGGCAAGAUCACCUCAACCCAAGAUCUCCU